rnacentral:tRNA from 1 species
AAUUAGUAUAUAAAGUAUAGCUACCUUCCAAGUAGAAGGACUCUUUAGAGGUUA